CCCCAACAACCUUUCCUCUUCCUUUCCCCAUCUUAUUGAAAUGGGUAAUGCAAAACCGAAAGAUGCAAAAGGAGUUUGGAACUAACUGAAGAAGAUGAACUAAAAGGCUAUGAGAAACUCCCUAAUUCUGAUGUCCUAAAUUGAAGAAGGGAGAACCUGUCACCUGCCUUAUAGAAGCCAAAGAGCUAGAAGGAAAUUUCCUGAGGGGUUUUGACUUACCCAGAUUCAAUGCCUCAGAGUACAGUUUUAAAGGACAAUAUCUACAACUCUCAGUC